GGGAUCUGAUCUGGCUGCUUCCAGCAGAUAUAAGGGAGGCGCCAUAGUAUGUGGGGUCUGAGGUUGGAAUGCGGGAAUAGGGCCAGACCACCAUCUGAUGAAAUGCUACCUGGGAAACUUCAUGAAUUCGUUUCCCUACGAAACGGAGAAAACAAGCAAGGGAUGAUUCAAGUUGAGCUGAUGUCAACGUGUGCUGGGCACCCUGGGACCCAAGUCUCAAAGUGAAACCUAUCCGAGUUCAGAUAAUCCAACCAGCUUCCAGCUUGUUUCUGCAGUGGAGAAAUAGUGCAUUUUGACACCAGCUCUUCAUGUGAUAAUCACUUCCAGAAUUCCCCUUAUCAAAGACGCAGAAGGUAACAAGCCUUCCUCCACGAGGCCUUCUUAGACUGUUUCAGACACUCCGACUUACCCAACUGAUGUCAUCCAUGAGUACAAAACACAUUUACCCACCAUCUGCCUUAACGAAGGGGCAAAGGCUUUGACACGGUGUCUUCACUUGGGGAGACACCACAAUCCCCUGGUCAUCUUCUACAUUUCUGGCCACCCUUUCUCAGCCUCCUUGGCCAGUUCUUCCUAGAGGAAUGUCCCCACCUUCACAGUUAAGUACCAUCUCUGUGCCAAUGACGUACACUUUUUUUCUGUUUACAACCUUGGGUCUCUUUCCUGAAUUCCAAACCUGUACCUACCACUUACCUAAUUUUGAUGCUUCGUGAUCUGUCUCACUGCACUGAACUGGCUUCAUUACAAGAAGAAUGACUUUGGUUACUGCUCUAUUAUCAGGGCCUAAAAUAAUGUCCAGCACAUGAGAGGAACUUACACAUCACUGGGGCGGAGGGGGGGCGGUGAAUGAAGAGUGAAAAGUCAUGACUGAUCGGUGUUCUCAUGGAGACUUCACUGUCUCAGCCCAUGAACCUCAAAUUCUCAGAUGACCCCAAAGAGCACAAAGGACAGGCAGCAAGUUGGCCCCAAAAUGCUCAUAGUUCAACAGCUAAUAUAGUGAUAGAUGCAGCACACAGAAAGUGUCUUGGAGCAGAUGCCUGGAAUCUAAUGGUCAGAACCGAAUAACGACUGGGUCACUCAGGAAGGAGGUUUGUCAGUCUGGCACACAGUGAACGAAGAGGAUCAGAGAGUGGCUCUGUCGCUGCCCAACCAAGAACCAUCUGGGGCUCAGGUAAGGGGUCUCUCUCACAGACAGGCCAGAAAAGUCAUUUUUGUAAUGUUCAUUUAUUUUUGAGAGAGACAGAGUGUGAGCGGGGGAGGGACAGAGAAAGAGGGAGACGCCGACUGUGAAGCAGGCUCCAGGCUCUGAGCUGUCAGCACAGAGGCCGACACGGGGCUCAAACUCACAGAUCACGAGAUCGUGACCUGAGCUGAAGUCGGACGCUUAACUGACAGAGCCACCCAGGUGCCCAUAGAGUUUUUCUCUAGGGAAGAGAAUGCGUUCUCCUGCGGCAUGAACUCUUAACGAGUAGGAUGUUGGUGUUCUGACUCAUACAUCUGACUCUUAGGAGCCUGGUUAAUGUGAGUCUGUCCUCAAGAGAAUGUUUAGUUUCCAGACAUGCACAGUUGAAGAUAGGACCAUGGAAUGAGGCUAAAUUACCAAAGCAAAUGUCUCCUACUUCUCAGGUCUCCUGUCAGCCAUCUAGCAACAUCCACGUCUCUCUGCUCACCUUCAUUCUGUGAAAGCUCUGAUGCUGACAAAAGGGCUCCCACCAUAUUUCAAUAAUAGAC